rnacentral:lncRNA from 1 species
GUAGGUUGACUGUCGGGACAAGCCCAGGGAUGGCAUUGUUUCUAUUUGCUGAUAAAUGACUCUGGGGCUGUGAAGACUCAGACCCAAGGAGUGACUCAGAAAGUCAGGGGCCCAUGUCAUUCUGCUCUGGGUUCAGACGUGCACUGCAGCAGCACCGGGACUUGACAGCCCUACGGCUCGAUCAGCUUUCUGUUUUCAUUGCCUUACGAUGCCAUGAGUGGAACUAUUGUCAAAUCAGAGUUCACUCCCCAGCUUUUCAGUCUUUCCCCUAAUUCUUGCUCUAUCAGAGGUCGAGGACAACAGUAUAAUGAUUCAUAGGUUCUACUUCCUGGCAAGUAAUCAUUUUCCCACGGGCCCUUGUGAAUUGAUGAAUAUGAAGACACUAAGAAAGCAGAAAUAGAACUGAGAAGAAUGAAAUAACUGUCUCUACCUUUCUCGAAUUGUCUAAUAUGGAAAGAAUGAAAGACAGCUAAUAAGCAACUCUCUGCAAGAAGACAUAUGGCUUAGGUUCUGCUGAGCUAUUGGUGAUUUGAUUCCAUGCAUAUGUAUUCACUACUGGUAUAAGUAUAUACAAUAUAUGUGUUUCUGCAAAGAAUCGUAGACUUGAUGCAUUUUUUAAUAUUUCUUAAGGACUUACUACUGAGUGUCAGUAUGAGAGGAUCGUUUACUUCCUUUUCCCAUUAAUUUUGAUAGCCUGGAUUGAGCAACUUUCUUACCUAGUUUUGUUUUAUGAGGUGCAUUAGCUUUUUCUUUGUGUGUAUGUUUGUGUGUGUGUAGCUUUAUUAACCAUAUUGUUUGGGCUUUUGAUAAAGCAGAGAUUCUGAUAUGGUAUACAUUUUGAACUAAGCAUUCAUUUAUUCAGCAGGGAUGUAUGUUUAAGACACUGUGUUAGCCAAGGGUGAGAAGGCGUGUGGAAUGGUAGAGGAGCAAGGUGAGGUAAGAUGAUUAAAAGACACCAGCUGAGAGUGUUAUUUUAUAUGGCAGAAGGAUGUUUGCAGAUGCAAUUAAGUUAAGGACCUUGAGAUGGGGUAUGUUAUCCUGGUAGGCCCAAUGUAUACAUCAGGGUCCUUAUGAAAGGGAGGCAGGAGAACAGAAUGAGUAGUGAGAAGAGUGAAUGGACAAUACUGAGGACAUGCUUAGGGACCCAAAGAAGCUUGCUAUGGUAGGGCUUGGUGGACUCUGUACUGAUGAGAAAGGCUAGGCCAUGCUAUGGAAGCAAAUAAAUCUGUUGUAAAGUGACAGAGUUUCUCUCUUGCUCAUGCAAAGUCUGCUAAAUGGCUGAGUGAUUCUCAAGGGCAUCCCUCACUCAUGUGAUGGCUCUGCUGUGUGUGCAUCCCUGCUAGCCAGGCAGGUCAGGAGAAUGUUAGAAAUGAAACACUUCCUUCUGGUGGCCAAAAGAAGUCACAUGGCUACAUCUGUUAAUAAUUCGAAGGUUGUAGACAGUAUAAUAUUCCCUUGUCCUAAAAGAGGGAAGCUAGAAAUAUUGGUAAGCAGCACAUAUAUCUUCCCCAUGAUCCCAACUUUGUUGGGUAGAGAAGCAUUUUAAAUAACUUUGGAAUUUACAUAUAUUCCUCAAAUAUCUAGUGGUAACUCCAUGUCUAAAUCCAGGGUACCCACUUUCUUCCCUAAACAUGUUUGAAAGUCCUGCAUUCUCUCAGUAUUGUUACAGAGCCACAUUUCAGUUGAAUUGGUAGUGCUGAGAAAAGCGUUAUUUAUUUUAUUUUUAUUUUAGUUUUUUUUAGAGACUGGGUUUUGCUGUGUUGCCCCGGCUGAUCUUGCACUCCUGGUCUCAAGUGCUCCUCCUAUCUCAGCCAUCCGAAUAGCUGGUAUUACAUGUGCACACCAUAAUGAGAAAAGCAUUAUGAUUAACCUAGUAAAUUGAUUUUUAAUACUGCAUUAUUUGAUUUUCAAGGACUUAAAAAACCACUUCCAGAGAGCUAGACACAAUGAAUACAAGCAAGCUAAUAAUGAAAGUGAGAAACCACAUGCUGCUGAAUUGAGUAUGUAGCAACAUUUGUAAAGAAAUGGCAAAUCAUAUCUAAUUAUUUCAUUGUGCUUACCUUUCUUCAGUCAGAAAGCCUUCGGCAUCUAGUGCAUUUCUACAGAUAUUCCGUGGUGAUUUAAUAUCAAUUAAUAUCAACCUGCAGCAAAGUGUUGACAGUGUUUCUAAAUUCACAAGCCCAACAUUUUGCAGUAUUGGGCAUAAGUGAAGGAGCUUUCCAGGUUGCUGCUAAAAGCAACUCAAAAAGAUGCGAAGUAGAUGUGAAACCUUCAUAUUUGGUACUUCUAUAGCAGAUUGUCUUCUCUCCUAGAAGAGAGGCCAGGAGACAGACUAACCCAUUUCUCUAAUCCAUAUGUUGUUCGCUGAGGCUCCCAAAGCUCUGGGAAGUAAUUUACUUGCAGUUCUCUAGAGAUGGAGGCAGGGAGCUUGAGUGUGAGUCCAGUGGAGACUGUCUUUGGAAUUUCAUCUGAUCACAGGGUCACUGUCCAUUUCUCUUCUCAGCAGGCCUAGGAAAACACCAGGACUAACCCCCUGGAGGGAGCCUAGCUUCAGGAUUAAUUAGGGCUUGAUUAAUUAAUUAAGGUAUGAAUCGAGGGCUUAAACAGUAGUUAACUAAGAAAUAUGUAUUUGUUUUACAAAAGUUAAAAUUUAUGGAACAGUAUAUUAAGAAUUGCUUUUAUUUUAUAAUAUAAUGUGUUAAUGUUAAGUUCUUUCCAUACAUUCUUUCGUUUAAAGCACACACAAAAAUGCAGAUGUGGCCAGGUGCAGUGGCUCACGUCUGUAAUCCUAGCACUUUGGGAGGCUGAGGAAGGCGGAUCACCUGAGGUCAGGAGUUCGAGACCAGCCUGGCCAACAUGGUGAAACCCCAUCUCCAUUAAAAAUACAAAAAUUAGCCGGGCAUGGUGGCAUGCACCUGUAAUCCCAGCUACUUGGGAGGCUGAGGCAGGAGAAUCACUUGAACCUAGGAGGGGGAGGUUGCAGUGAGCCAAGAUCGCACCACUGCACUCCAGCCUGGGCGACAGAGCGAGAAUCCAUCUAAAGAAAAAAAUGCAGAUGAAGGGCCUGCCUUGAUUGUCCUGUGAACAGUUUGUGUGCAGUGGGGAGGCUGAAGGUCUGGCCUCCUUUGCUUCUGGUGUCUUCACCGCCACCACUUCUGCCCCUGUGUCUCUAUAUAGUGUAAGGGAUUGGUAUUAAUUAUUUCCCAUUUUACAGAUGAGGAAACUGAAAUCCAGAGAAAUGGAGUGAGUUGGCCAAGUGCACACAGCUCAUUUCUUACCUAGUAUUUACUGUUCACACACUGUAUAGACCCUUUAAUAAGCUAAUCUAAAAGAUUAAUCUAAAAGAUUAGAUACAUUACCUCGUUUCAGUGCCACUAUAGCCUGGCAUUGUACAUAUCACUAUCUUCCUGUCGAAUAGGAAGGUUCUUAAAUUCUGAGACAUUUGGUAACAUGCCUGAGUUAUGUGUAAAAGCUUAGAUUUGAAUUUGAGCCUCCUGACUUGAAUCUUGCGUUUGACCAUACCACAUCUGCACCUAGCUGUUGGAGGAAUCAGAACGCCCAAGACCCAGAUAACUCUAAAUAAGGCCCAGUCUGAGUCGUGCUUCAUGGUUAGGUUCAUAAGUUCAGUGCUGAAAAGGCUGAUUUUUCCUGUUUUUCUAGGGUCUGUUUGCUGGAUUUAAGAUACGCUCUCUCCAGAAAUAUGACAAAACAAUUGUUUUGUUUGCUCAUUUUUUGUUUUGUUUUGUUUUUCGUUCUUACAAGGUAACUAGUAUCCCUAGCACACCAGAAAUAAUUGGCACUGAUGUUCCUGACAAGAGGAGUCUGCUAAAAGUGACCUUUAAAUGCCUUUUGGUGGAGUGAUUAUUUAAUUUAGGCAGUUUCUUUUCUCAGAAAGGAAUUAACAGUUUCUACGGGCUUUGCUAGCUGAGACCUUUAGUUUUAAUCACCUCCUUGAAAACAUUCUCCUUAAUCUAUUCUGAGUAAGAUGGUGGGUUUCUUUGUACUUUGGCCUUUAACUUUUUUUUUUUUUUGAGACAAGCUCUAUCACCCAGGCUGGAGUAUAAUGUCACGAUCAUAGCUCACUAUAAACUUAAACUCCAGGGUUCAGCCGUGGAACACAGGUGAUCUUCUUGACUCAGCCUUUUGAGUAGCUGGGACUACAGGCCCACCACACUGUCUAAUUUUUUAUUUAUUUAUUUUUGUAGAGAUGGGAUCUUGCUAUGUGGCCCAGGCUGGCCUCAAACUCCUGGCCUCAAGAUAUUUCCCCCUGCCUUGGCCUCUCAAAGUGAAUCUACUUGGAGAGAGUCAAACACAGAAUCCCUUUGAAUUUAAUGGCCAUUCCAGGUGAUUUGAACAGCCAAAUAAGAAACAGGUCCUCUUCAAUGUACAAUCUGCCAAGUAUGAAGUCUGAAUGACCAUCAUUAUUAUGUAUUUAAUGUGCAUAGAAAAUCUAUCUGCAACCUUCCAGAGUGUACCAGAAGUUUGGAAUGUACAUUAUUAUUGGCUCCAUCUCAAACCACUCAUAAAUCAAAGAAAAUAGCAGUUCCAGAGGAAUCAUCAUAGAGGCUUCUAGGCCCCCAUGCUGUGUGAACCUGGUGAGAAAGGGAAGUCUGCUCUCACUGGACACUGGAACUGUUUGUCUCUGUCUCUGCUGUACUUUCCCUGCCUCUACCUCACUUAGUAAAGAAAUCAUCUUUGCUUGAUAACUAAAACAACCAAUAAGGCUGAGAAAGGGGAAAACCCACAUCUGGAUUUAAAUACAAGGUAUUGGGCCAGCUGCUGGGGAUUAAACUUUGAACAAAACAGAUAGAAUCUAUGUCCUCAUGGGAGUGGCUAAUGGGAGAGUCGGAACAAAAAAAUAGCCAAGGAUAAUCCAGCAAAUGAUUUGGUGAAUGCUAUCAAAGAGAGAAAUACACAUGCUCUGGGAACACCAAGAAUAAACGAGAGAAAGGGACAUUAAUAUAUAUUGAAUAUCUGCUGUGUCAGGCACCUUACAUAUAUUGAUUGCUUCUUCACUUCUUUUAAUCUUUACUACACCACAUGAGGCUGUCAUAGAGAUUCUGAGAACAAAUUGUCUAAUUGAGAAACUGCUGAGCAUUGGAAAUGAGCUUGCCAGGGGAACAGAGGGAUACCUGAAUAGCGAAUGCAAGGCAGUUCAAAACUCAAACUCAGGCCACUGGAUUUGCUGCCCACUGCUCCUUGUAUGAUCGCCCUUGGGCACCACAUCCAUGUAGAGUCUUCUUCUAAGAGGCAAGGAAGGUCAAAGCUGAAACCACACAUCCCAGAUUAUGAUUGAGGUGUUUUUAUAGAACUUGUUUAUUUACAGCGUCUAUACUAAAACUUAUUUUUGGAAGCUGUAGUCAAAUAAUGUUUCUUAAGUGCCUUCACAGGAUAGACCAGCAAUAGAUGCUGUGGAAGAAGUGCAUGAUGUAGCUCCUGACCUCAAGACACUUUUCCACUGGAUACGGAUACAGGGCAUAUCUCCAGGGAGAUCAUUCAGGAUAAUGCCCAGUCAUCAGCAGGCAGUGCCAUAUGAAUGCAUAGCAAGUUAUGCUCCAGGAAGCAGAGGAAGCAGAGCACAUGAGGAAUGGGCUUCUAUGUGUAGCUGGAGUCUCACCUGGGUUUUGAAUUCAUAAAUAGUGUUCAAGGAGGAAGCAGGGAGGGUAUAGCUCUUGAUAGGAAGUGAUGGGAUGGCGAUACGAAUAUAUGUUCCUUGUUUGAAAUACCACAUGAAGGGCAUGUGGCUGUGAAACCAACUUUGCAAAGAUGAUGACAGUGAGAGAAAUCUAGCAUGGCUGACUCCAUCUUGCUUCUAGCCUCGCAGGCUGGCUACCCUCACUCACUCUUGGGCAUAGGCCCAGCUAACCAUGGGAGUCAUUUGAUUUAUAGAUUAACUUUGAAACAAGAAUGAUAAGAGUCUCUCCCUAAAACUGACCCCUUCCUUGUUCAGGAGCUGAAACUGCCUUUGUAAGACUAAUGAAAGGCCACAAGAUUAGGAUUAUGGGAGAGGCCUGGAUUCUGCUAAAAUGUAGGUGUAGUAAAUGAUAAACAGACAUUGAUCUCCAGUUGGCUUUUCUAUAAUCCCUUCCUGCUCCGGGGUCAGGUGGCCAGAGGCACAAGAUUUGUGGCUUCCGCAAAUUCUCCUGUAGGUAACAUCACUAUUGUAGAAUUUGAGAUUGGUCUUUUGAGAUGUUUUUCAGGCUUUUGCAUUCUGGCAACUCACUGACCCCAUGACUCAUGACUCAACCUGUUCUGUGGCCCCCACACAGAGGCUAGUUCAGUGCACAAGAACCAUUUUCCACACCCCUAUGUUGUCAUUCCCAACCAAUCAGCAACACCCACCCCUGAGCUCCCUGCCUGCCCAAUUAUCCAUAAAACUCUAGCCUCUGAGUUCUUGGGAUGGCUGAUUUGAGCAAUUAUUCCCAUCCUUCCAUUCAACUAGCCCUGCCAUUAUUAAACUCUUUCUCUACUGCAAUACAUCUGUCUCAGUGAACUGAUUUUAUCUGUGCAGUGGGCAACAAUUAGCCAUUGGGUGAUUAUAGCUGGAAAAGUGCCUACCUUGUGGCAGUUAAACAUGAGGUUUGGAGGGAGACUACCUACAUCUAACCACCACUGACCACCAUUGUAGUUGAGGUUCUGGUCAACUUAUUAACCCUUUGUGCGCACAUGUGCAUGCGUGCACACACACAGACACACACAGACACAUUUUCUCAUGUGUGAAAUGGGGACCAUAAUGUUGGAUCUCCCAGUGUUGCAGGAAGGACUCAUUGUAACAGAACAUGAAAAUAUUUAAUGUGCUGCCUAAUGUAUAACAGACACUGAAUAAAAUAACCACUGUUUUCAUUAGUAAUGGUCUUAGAUACCUAGCUAAGGCAAAAAUUUACUCGAUUUCCUGUCCCUCAUCUUUCAAACUUACUUGGGUUUGUAACCAUCCUUGCUUCCUUCCCCUCUUUUCAAAGUGUUAUUUCCUUUCAAAGUUAAUCCUUUCACUUGAUUCUCAUUCCAUCACGUAUUGUCUUCCUUC